GUUAAUAAUAAAAGGUUUUGAUUAAAUCCUCUGGCCCCGAAGGACCAAAGCAAAAAAUUACAAUAGUUCACAGGUGUUAAGGAUAAAAAUGUCCUAAGACAAUUUCGUUAAUGAUCCUUCCGCAGGUUCACCUACGGAAACCUUGUUAC
rnacentral:rRNA from 1 species